rnacentral:rRNA from 1 species
UACGUAGGGGGCAAGCGUUGUCCGGAUUUAUUGGGCGUAAAGAGCGUGUAGGCGGCUAUACAGGUCCGUUGUGAAAACUGGAGGCUUAACCUCCAGACGUCGAUGGAAACCGUAUGGCUAGAGUCCGGAAGAGGAGAGUGGAAUUCCUGGUGUAGCGGUGAAAUGCGCAGAUAUCAGGAAGAACACCCGUGGCGAAGGCGGCUCUCUGGGCCUUACCUGACGCUCAGGUGCGAAAGCUAGGGGAGCGAACAGG